rnacentral:rRNA from 1 species
GAUGAACGCUGGCGGCGUGCCUAAUACAUGCAAGUCGAACGCAUAGCGAAAGGUUCUUCCUCCUUUCAGGUGCGGGGGGAAGGGUAGAGUAAAACAAGGACAACCGGCCUGGAGGCUGAGGUUAACAUUUGGAAACAGAUACCACUACCGAACAAAGCUUAGUGUCGCAUGACCCACGGAUAAAAGGCGCUUCGGCGUGACCUAGUGAUGGUACCGGGGUGCAUUAGUUAGUUGGUGGGGUAAAGGCCUACCAAGACGAGGAUGCGUAGCCGAUUUGAGAGGAUGAUCCGGCACCAUGGAACUGAGACACGGUCCCAACUCCUACGGGAGGCCGCAGUGGGGAAUAUUGCACAAUGGGCGAAAGCCUGAUGGAGCCAUGCCGCGUGUGUGAAGAAGGCUUUCGGGUCGUAAAGCACUGUUGUAUGGGAAGAACAGCUAGAAGAGGAAAUGAUGUUAGUUUGACGGUACCAUAACAGAAAGCGACGGCUAACUACGUG